rnacentral:rRNA from 1 species
GNAGGAGCUUGCAUCACAUUANUUAGUUGGNGGGGUAAAGGCCUACCAAGACUAUGAUGUGUAGCCGGGCUGAGAGGUUGAACGGCCACAUUGGGACUGAGACACGGCCCAAACUCCUACGGGAGGCAGCAGUAGGGAAUUUUCGGCAAUGGAGGAAACUCUGACCGAGCAACGCCGCGUGAACGAUGAAGUAUUUCGGUACGUAAAGUUCUUUUAUUAGGGAAGAAUAAAUGAUGGAAAAAUCAUUCUGACGGUACCUAAUGAAUAAGCCCCGGCUAACUAUGUGCCAGCAGCCGCGGUAAUACAUAGGGGGCAAGCGUUAUCCGGAAUUAUUGGGCGUAAAGGGUGCGUAGGCGGUUAAAUAAGUUUAUGGUCUAAGUGCAAUGCUCAACAUUGUGAUGCUAUAAAAACUGUUUAGCUAGAGUAAGAUAGAGGCAAGUGGAAUUCCAUGUGUAGUGGUAAAAUGCGUAAAUAUAUGGAGGAACACCAGUAGCGAAGGCGGCUUGCUGGGUCUUUACUGACGCUGAGGCACGAAAGCGUGGGGAGCAAACAGGAUUAGAUACCCUGGUAGUCCACGCCGUAAACGAUGAGUACUAAACGUUGGGUAAAACCAGUGUUGAAGUUAACACAUUAAGUACUCCGCCUGAGUAGUACGUACGCAAGUAUGAAACUUAAAGGAAUUGACGGGACUCCGCACAAGCGGUGGAUCAUGUUGUUUAAUUCGAAGGUACCCGAAAAACCUCACCAGGUCUUGACAUGCUUCUGCAAAACUGUAGAAACACAGUGGAGGUUAUCAGUUGCACAGGUGGUGCAUGGUUGUCGUCAGCUCGUGUCGUGAGAUGUUGGGUUAAGUCCCGCAACGAGCGCAACCCUUAUUGUUAGUUACCAGCACGUAAUGGUGGGGACUUUAGCAAGACUGCCGGNGAUAAU